UUUUGGGGAAAGGGAAGGCCCCCACCGCGAAGAGAGUCUGGCAACGCCGGACCGGGACCCCCGAGGGACCUCUUCCUCCCCGCCGCCCACCUCAGAAUUCCUUCCUCCCCGGCCCCUAGUGGGAGCUUAGGCCGGGAGUGACCCCUGAGAGGGAGGAGGAGCGGUGACUCCUGGAACAGCCCGCGGGCGGGGAGGGCUGCGGGAGGGCAAGUGGCAGAGCCAUUGAAAACACACCACUCUAUUCAGAACCCCUCCA
rnacentral:lncRNA from 1 species